rnacentral:rRNA from 1 species
UACGGAGGGUGCAAGCGUUAUCCGGAUUCACUGGGUUUAAAGGGUGCGUAGGAGGGCAGGUAAGUCAGUGGUGAAAUCUUCGAGCUUAACUCGGAAACUGCCGUUGAUACUAUCUGUCUUGAAUACCGUGGAGAUGAGCGGAAUAUGUCAUGUAGCGGUGAAAUGCUUAGAUAUGUCAUAGAACACCAAUUGCGAAGGCAGCUCGUUACACGAAUAUUGACUCUGAGGCACGAAAGCGUGGGGAUCAAACAGG